UACGGGGGGGCAAGCGUUGUUCGGAAUUACUGGGCGUAAAGGGCGCGUAGGCGGCCUGCUAAGUCACACGUGAAAUCCCUCGGCUCAACCGGGGAACUGCGUGUGAUACUGGCGGGCUUGAAUUCGGGAGAGGGAUGUGGAAUUCCCGGUGUAGCGGUGAAAUGUGUAGAGAUCGGGAGGAACACCGGUGGCGAAGGCGGGUCUCUGGGCAUCUCCUGACGCUGAGGCGCGAAAGCGUGGGGAGCAAACGGG
rnacentral:rRNA from 1 species